rnacentral:lncRNA from 1 species
GGUGGGAGAGAAUGCCUGUUUGGAUCAGACAAAUUAGGAGAUAUGUGUUUGGAACUUCUGCCCAUCAAUGGAUGAGGGAUACUGACAGGAACAGUUUCUGAACGCAAACGAGUCUGCACAGGAUUUGCACCUGAGAAAUAUGUGGGUGGAGAAGGAGAUGGAGAUGGUGAAAAUGGAGGGGAAAUCUGGUCGUCAUCAUAAUUAGUUGCUUUCUGGAGAGUGGGCAAUCUGUAGUUAGGUGGAACCCUCUGUCCAUACACAUCACUGGGCGAAGUUGAAAGCUCAUAUGGUGCACGGUACAAAGGUGGAGAUCCAACAUAUGGCUGAGGUAAAGAUGGUGCCCUGAGGAGACCACUGGUCCAACUUUGUGGACGCUGAACUGGUGCU